rnacentral:rRNA from 1 species
GUCCACGCCUAACGAUGUCUACUAGUUGUCGGAGGUAACUCCUUCGGUAACGCAGCUAACGCGUGAAGUAGACCGCCUGGGAGUACGGUCGCAAGAUUAAACUACAAGGAAUUGACGGGACCCGCACAAGCGGUGGAUGAUGUGGAUUAAUUCGAUGCAACGCGAAACCUUAACCUACCUUGACAUGCCCACUAACGAAGCAGAGAUGCAUUAGGUGCCCGAAAGGGAAGUGGACACAGGUGCUGCAUGGCUGUCGU